AUGAACCUGACUAAAUUUAAAUAGGAAUAUACUUUGAUUGUGUGAGAUAUAAGUUCUAUCACAAAAGUUGCGGGCAGUUAUUGAAGUACAUUUGAUAUUUAGACUGCACCUAGUAUUGCUUAUUUUUUUCUCGUGUGCUUAAUAAGGUAUGGGUCAUACCUGCACAGUCCUACUGUCAAUGUUAUGCAGAUGCACCCUGUAGUAGUAGUUCUAUUCCACUGCUUCAUCAUUUGGUUAAUCCACGCUACUUAUCAGCUAUAGCUAGAUCAAGCGUACAUAUACAUACUUGCAACCAUGGAACGGAACAUUCUCUGGUGCUUAAUAUCUAUCUACAUCUUACGUAUGCCCAUCGCACAAGAGACGUGCAUAUUUGACCUCAUAUUAUAGAUCAGAUGCAGACCUGAGCUGAGUUGCUAGUGGUGGUCCAUGGCAGGAAUUAUUCUGUAAAAUCCUCACUGGAAACUGAUAAGAUCGCUGCAGUGGUGGAAUCAUAGCUUUGAUAUAGGAAUUGUUUGUACGAAUAUAGAUAACUAUGAAAUGGUGUCCAAUCUAAUUUUCAGUGUUGUGAGGCGAUUUAAUUGUUGCUUGUCAUCUUCUUUUGCAUCGUAGAUCAGUGAGCUUGUAUACUAUGCAUCAGGUUUUCGAUUUCAGAAAAAGAAUUUUAAUAGAGAUUUUCUAUUUUGAUCAUACAUUUGAUGUGUAUUUAAUGUUCGAAGCUAGAAGUAAUCUGGUUUGUUGCAAAAGAUGACCUUUUCAAGGAUAGAAUAUAAAAUAUAAUGUGAACUUUUCAAGAUCAUUAGGCGAUUAAAAUUUUCAACCAUUAUUCGUGCUAUUAGGUUUAGGUGGUCACUCAUGCUUCUUGCUUUUAUUGCCUGAUAAUUUUAUAUUACAGGUUCUGUUUUUUUUUUAAGAAAACUAAGGUGGCGACUUUGUGAUAUACAUGUACCAUCAUUGUGGUGCACGUCAUGGUAGUUACAUGCAACCUGCAAUGGCAAUUUUUUGAAAUUUUCAUGUUUUCUAUAAUUGAGGCUUGUGAUAAUGGAUUGUUAUUUUUUCUAUGAUCCUGCAGAAGACAAGCUUGUGCUCUGCAACUGGGGAGAGGCACCUCAGGAUGCUCCACGACAAGAUGCGGCACAACGAGCAGGCCAACACACGGGAGGUGCCCGCUGUUAUGAUCGUUGUGCAGAUCCUCUUGUUCAACACCCAACAUUGAGGCUGCCAAUUACAACCUUGGCGACGCCCCGCAGGUCAUCCAGCUUGGUACAGAUACAUCAGAUGAGGGAGUAUCUGGAAUUGAUAAUAAUGCCAGAGUUAGCUAUUCAAGUACAGUAAGUUCAUGUAGCUAUGGAUCAGGUGAUGAUUUUUAUUCAAUGUUGAAAGGGAGUAAGUGAUGGAACACUUGCUUAUUUUUCACAUUUAUCUGGUAAUCUGUAUGGUUCGAUGCAUCUUUACCAAAGGCACUGGAAUCAGCGGUCUUGCUGGAUAUUCAUAGUAUAGUUUGUGGUAGUAAGCAUUCAAUUCUGGUUACUAAAUAGGAAAUUUCUAAUUUCUUGAAGUCGGAAUUUUGAUUAUGUGAGCUACAGGUGUGAUUGUUUCUGGUAAUGCUUAAUGCUGCUGGUAA